rnacentral:rRNA from 1 species
GCUUCCCUAGUACGGCGAGUGAAGCGGGAAGAGCUCAAAUUUGAAAUCUGGUGGCCUCAGGUCAUCCGAGUUGUAAUCUAUAGAAGUGUUUUCCGUGCUGGCUCAUGUACAAGUCCCUUGGAACAGGGCGUCAUAGAGGGUGAGAAUCCCGUCCUUGACAUGAACUACCAGUGCUCUGUGAUACAUUUUCAACGAGUCGAGUUGUUUGGGAAUGCAGCUCAAAAUGGGUGGUAAAUUCCAUCUAAAGCUAAAUAUUGGCGAGAGACCGAUAGCGAACAAGUACCGUGAGGGAAAGAUGAAAAGCACUUUGGAAAGAGAGUUAAACAGUAUGUGAAAUUGUUGAAAGGGAAACGAUUGAAGUCAGUCGUGCUCUUUGGAUUCAGCCGGUUCUGCCGGUGUACUUCCUUUGAGUGGGGUCAACAUCAGUUUUGAUCGCUGGAUAAAGGCUGGAGGAACGUAGUACCCUCGGGUAAACUUAUAGCCUCCUGUCACAUACAGUGGUUGGGACUGAGGAACGCAGCACGCCUUUAUGGCCGGGAUUCGUCCACGUACGUGCUUAGGAUGUUGACAUAAUGGCUUUAAACGACCCGUCUUGAAACACGGACCA